GUCCAGAAAAUGAAUAUUAGUUCAGCUUUAAAAAUACCAAAAAUAUGAACAAAUUACAAUGUAUUUUUAAAAGUUAGUCUAAAAAGGUACAGCCUUUUAGAAAUGGAUACAACCUUAACUAGAGAGUAAGUCUUAAUAUUAAACCAUAGUGGGCCUAAAAGCAGCCACCAAUUAAGAAAGCGUUAAAGCUCAACAAUAAAAUAAUAUUAAUUCCAAUAAUAAGCAAUCAACUCCUAAUCUAAUACUGGACUAAUCUAUUAAAAAUAGAAGCAAUAAUGUUAAUAUGAGUAACAAGAAAUAACUUCUCCCCGCAUAAGUUUAAGUCAGUAUCUGAUAAUACUCUGACUAUUAACAGCAAAAUAAGAGUAACCUAACUAUAAAUAACUUAUUAACUACACUGUUAAUCCGACACAGGAAUGCACCUAAGGAAAGAUUAAAAGAAGUAAAAGGAACUCGGCAAACACCAAACCCCGCCUGUUUACCAAAAACAUCACCUCCAGCAUAACUAGUAUUGGAGGCACUGCCUGCCCAGUGACAACCGUUAAACGGCCGCGGUAUCCUGACCGUGCAAAGGUAGCAUAAUCACUUGUUCUCUAAAUAGGGACUUGUAUGAAUGGCCACACGAGGGUUUUACUGUCUCUUACUUCCAAUCAGUGAAAUUGACCUUCCCGUGAAGAGGCGGGAAUAUAUUAAUAAGACGAGAAGACCCUAUGGAGCUUUAACUACUUAGCCCAAAAGAAACAAAUUUCAUUGCUAAGGAAACAACAACACUCUUUAUGGGCUAACAGCUUUGGUUGGGGUGACCUCGGAGAACAAGAAAUCCUCCGAGCGAUUUUAAAGACUAGACCUACAAGUCGAAUCACACAAUCGUUUAUUGAUCCAAAAAAUUGAUCAACGGAACAAGUUACCCUAGGGAUAACAGCGCAAUCCUGUUCAAGAGUCCAUAUCGACAAUAGGGUUUACGACCUCGAUGUUGGAUCAGGACAUCCCGAUGGUGCAACCGCUAUCAAAGGUUCGUUUGUUCAACGAUUAAAG
rnacentral:rRNA from 2 species